rnacentral:rRNA from 1 species
GACGAACGCUGGCGGCGUGCCUAAUACAUGCAAGUCGAACGCUUCUUUCCUCCCGCGUGCUUGCCCUCAAUUGGAAAGCGGAGUGGCGGACGGGUGAGUAACACGUGGGUAACCUACCCAUCAGAGGGGGAUAACACUUGGAAACAGGUGCUAAUACCGCCUAACCGUUUAUGCCGCAUGGCAUAAGAGUGAAAGGCGCUUUCGGGUGUCGCUGGUGGAUGGACCCGCGGUGCAUUCGCUAGUUGGUGAGGUAACGGCUCACCUAGGCCACGAUGCAUAGCCGACCUGAGAGGGUGAUCGGCCACACUGGGACUGAGACACGGCCCAGACUCCUACGGGAGGCAGCAGUAGGGAAUCUUCGGCAAUGGACGAAAGUCUGACCGAGCAACGCCGCGUGAGUGAAGAGGGUUUUCGGAUCGUAAAACUCUGUUGUUAGAGAAGAACAAGGACGUUAGUAACUGAACGUCCCCUGACGGUAUCUAACCAGAAAGACACGGCUAACUACGUG